rnacentral:piRNA from 1 species
UUCUGUGACAGCAGCCUGAGAUGGAC